rnacentral:tRNA from 1 species
UCAGUUAGCUCAGUUGGUAGAGCAGUUGACUUUUAAUCAAUUGGUCGCAGGUUCGAAUCCUGCACGACCCA